AUUGAACGCUGGCGGCAGGCUUAACAAAUGCAAGUCGAGCGAGCGGCGGACGGGUGAGUAAUGUCUGGGAAACUGCCUGAUGGAGGGGGAUAACUACUGGAAACGGUAGCUAAUACCGCAUACCAUCAGAUGUGCCUAGAUGGGAUUAGCUAGUAGGUGGGGUAAUGGCUCACCUAGGCGACGAUCCCUAGCUGGUCUGAGAGGAUGACCAGCCACACUGGAACUGGGCCACGGUCUAGACUCCGUCGGGAGGCAGCAGUGAGGAACAUUGGAAAAGGUGAGCAAGCCUGAUGCAGCCAGGCCGAGUGUGGGAAGAAGGCCUUCGGGUUGUAAAGCACUUUCAGCGAGGAGGCGUUACUAGCAGAAGAAGCACCGGCUAACUCCGUGCCAGCAGCCGCGGUAAUAC
rnacentral:rRNA from 1 species